AUGGCGGAUGCAGCAGAUCUCCUCCCGGGCCUCCCUAACGACAUCGCCAUCUGGGAGAUCCUCAUCCGCCUGCCCCCGAAACCCCUCCUCCGCAGCCGCGCCGUCAGCCCGGCGUGGCGCCGCGACUUUCUCCUCUCCCACCACGCCCGCCAGCCCGCCCUCCAACUCCUCGAGAGCUACAGCGACGACGACGACGACGACCGCCGCCGGCCGGUUACAGCCCGUCGUGCGACUCAAAAUGCCUCCCUCCGAGGCCGUCACUCCCCGCAUGUAUCUGGCGGCCUCCCGCGACGGCCUCCUCCUCCUCUACCACUUUCACUCCGAGUCGUUCGACCUCUGCAUCUGCAUCUGCAACCCGGCAACUCGGCAGUACGCUCCCCUCCACCACCUCAAGGGAUUCAGACCUCUGGGCACACCCCCUCUACGGGCGGCGACUACCGCCUCUUGCUGUACCGAUUGGCUGAACAUGGCGCCCACGUUUUCACAUUAGGCUCUGCCGAGCCGCCAAGGCGCAUACCGUGCCCUCGUCCGCUCUUCCUGGGACAUAGCGCCGGAAUCCUAUUCCGAGGCAGCAUAUACUGGUACACGCACAGGGGAAUACUGAUAUUCGACACCACCAAUGAGUCCUUCAGGCGUAUCCGCGCCCCGCCUGCUAGUCACGACGCUCGGGUGUUUCUGAUGGGUGACAUGCUCGCCCUCUUCGGUCCUAAUGAUCAAGGCACAGCCAUUGAUAUCUGGGUGAUGCCCAACCGCCAACAAGAGGUCUGGGAUUUCAAGUGUCGGGUUAAAUUGCCCGUUGCGGAGACUAGGCAGCAGUGUCGGUGCUCCGAGCAUGACCAGGUUGUCAUGGUUGUGCCUGGGGACGACGGUGGCUUGCUCAUGCUCAUCAGCUGUGACAAAUGGCUGUUUCAGGUUGAUAUUGAUGGCAACUUGAUUGCCAGUUUCCAUACCAGAGGCCUCAGUUAUACUCACCAGAUGUUCAAGCAAACUCUUGUUCAACAUACCUUCUUUCCGACACUAGAGGGUUAUGUUGUCAACGCUCCGCCUUUCAUCUGA
rnacentral:rRNA from 1 species